ACUUAAAUAGUUUAUAUAAAAUACUGAUUUGUGGUGUCAGAGAAAUAAAUUAUUUUAUUUUAGGUA
rnacentral:tRNA from 1 species